GCAUAUCAAUAAGCGGAGGAAAAGAAACCAACAGGGAUUGCCCCAGUAACGGCGAGUGAAGCGGCAACAGCUCAAAUUUGAAAUCUGGCCCCUCGGGGUCCGAGUUGUAAUUUGUAGAGGAUGCUUUUGGUGAGGUGCCGCCCGAGUUCCCUGGAACGGGACGCCACAGAGGGUGAGAGCCCCGUCUGGCUGGCCGCCGAGCCUCUGUAAAGCUCCUUCGACGAGUCGAGUAGUUUGGGAAUGCUGCUCAAAAUGGGAGGUAUAUGUCUUCUAAAGCUAAAUAUUGGCCAGAGACCGAUAGCGCACAAGUAGAGUGAUCGAAAGAUGAAAAGCACCUUGAAAAGAGGGUUAAAUAGUACGUGAAAUUGUUGAAAGGGAAGCGCUUGUGACCAGACUUGGGCGCGGCGGAUCAUCCGGGGUUCUCUCCGGUGCACUUCGCCGCGUCUGGGCCAGCAUCAGUUCGUCGCGGGGGAAAAAGGCUUCGGGAACGUGGCUCCUCCGGGAGUGUUAUAGCCCGUUGCAUAAUACCCUGCGGUGGACUGAGGACCGCGCAUCUGCAAGGAUGCUGGCGUAAUGGUCACCAGCGACCCGUCUUGAAACACGGACCAAGGAGUCGUCUUCGUAUGCGAGUGUUCGGGUGUCAAACCCCUACGCGUAAUGAAAGUGAACGCAGGUGAGAGCUUCGGCGCAUCAUCGACCGAUCCUGAUGUUCUCGGAUGGAUUUGAGUAAGAGCAUACGGGGCCGGACCCGAAAGAAGGUGAACUAUGCCUGUAUAGGGUGAAGCCAGAGGAAACUCUGGUGGAGGCUCGCAGCGGUUCUGACGUGCAAAUCGAUCGUCAAAUAUGGGCAUGGGGGCGAAAGACUAAUCGAACCUUCUAGUAGCUGGUUUCCGCCGAA
rnacentral:rRNA from 2 species